AGACAAUGUCAUAAGAACUUUAGGUCACAGCACAAAUUCCUCAAAGUUGUCCCGGGCACAUGCCUCAUGUGGAUUUUGGUGCCUUCCCAACCUUCUGGGUAUAAAGGAAGAAGACUUCUACAGCAGAGAGGUAACAGCACAGAAAGCAGAGGCUGGGAACAGUGGGAGACAAUCUUCAUCUGCUCCACAAUGUCACCCAUUGUCUAUGUCAUGUGUGGAGCUAUCUGAAACUUUGCACAAGAAAAGUAUAUGCAAAACUCAGAGGAACUUGGCAAGUUUUCCUAUGGUUCAAGGGCAGCCAGAAUCUUUUCUCAGAAAUAGCAAUUUUUGUGUAAAAGGACAAGGAAACUCACAGCCCAUGGUCUCUGCCUAGUCCUCGUGGAGCAGCAUUCACCUGUAUUUGGGAGAUGCCCUUGAACUUCUAUGUAGGUUAGAGUCCAGUUUCCUCAGCUCAUCCUAGACUGACAGUGCUUGAGACCCUUUCCCAGUCUCAGGAGAGGUACCAUGAUAUUAAUGUUGUGGAUUGAGAAAAUAAUUCAAUACUGCAGAAGCCUUGGUAUCUGUAUGGAUUUGUAUGGUUCUGAUUGAUUCUCUCUCUCUCUCCUUUUUUUUUUGGUAAUAACUUCUUCAGAACCUGAUGAAAACUAUGGAUCAAGUCCCCCAAAAGAGACCCAUAUUUGUACAUAUAAUUUCAGGUCCCUAAAAGCCUGUUCACGAAUCCCAAGUUAAGAACACCUACAGCAGAGAUAGGACCAGCAAAACAGGCUUUAGUUUUUUGGCUUUCUUCCUUGAAAUAUAAACUUUUAUUAUAUUCUGAUUUAGUUGCAUUUUGGCCUGCUUUACUCCGAAGAGUGUUCGGGGGCUACAAAGACAUUCUGAGGUGUCCUUUUCUUUCUGUUUUUAGAUCUAUGCUAUAUCAUGACAAUGGGAUAAUUUUAGUAACCUCUGGGACUAUGUGUUAUUGACACACCUUUUACUAAUCAGUUACUCAUCACAAUUCUCUGUUCUCCUCGGUACACUUGCUACCUCUGUUCUUUUAGUGGCAUUCUUUCUACUUAUAUGCUGAUGCAUUAGCAUACAAAUCUAUAACCACAAAAUAUUUAAUGCAAGAGUCCUACAAGAAAUUAUUAUACAAAAAUGGAGGAAUAUUAGCUAUUAAAUGUUGCUGUGAUUUUAUUAAGACAGUCUGGAAUUUAAUUCAUAAACAUUAGUUAGUUAGGUUUUUAUUCAUCUCAUCACAUUUUAACUAUGCAACUAUAAACCUCCUACCUUACCUUUUUCUGUUUUAAGAAUGUAGAAAUGCUUGCAGCUUAUACAGCAACUCCUCCCUUGGAUCUAGAAGGCACUAACUUCAGCUUUCAAACUUGCUUUGUCAAUUGCCCAUUCUUAGAAACGGUGGAAACAUUUUACACUAUGUGAAUAAUAAUGAACAAUGCUGCUCAGUGAUUUAUAACUCUAAGAGCUUUAUAAUUUGAUUUAUGAACAGCUCUCAAAUUUUCCACUCGCAGUUCAUAGAACUAUGAGUAAAUUUUCUAGCCAAGUGACUCAGUAUUUUGCUGCAUGACUAAUCCCACACUCUGUGGAAAACUAUAUAAAUGAAUUCUAUUUGCUUGUGGAUAAUAAAUGAUUACUUUCCAAAAACUGUCUGCAAAGCAUUAUGGAGUAGAUGAAUUCAAUUACACUGAUGUUUUAAACUUUCAAACUCAGCAGACAUUUUUUGGGAAGUCUGUAAUGCUCACAAGAAAGAACAUUUUUUCCCCCCACAGUAGUAUCAGGAAUUCCACAACCCAUAGGGCAACAAAUCCUAAUCAGGCUCUAAAAUUUCUUAACUGUUAAAAGAACAAUUUGGAAUUAUUCCAGUUGAAGUAUUUUCUCUUCCAAUGAUUCCUUUAUGUUAUUUU